rnacentral:lncRNA from 1 species
AAAAUGGACUGAGGAUACUCUCGGAGGAUGAACUGAGGAUACUCGCGGAGGAUGCACUGAGGAUACUCGGGGGAGGACGGACUGAGGGGAUUCGGGGAGAAUGGACUGAGGGGACUUGGGGGAAAAUGGACUGAGGGGACUCGAGGGAAAAUGGACUGAGGGGACUCGCGGAGGAUGCACUGAGGAUACUCGCGGAGGAUGCACUGAGGAUACUCGCGGAGGAUGGACUGAGGUUACUCGCGGAGGAUGGACUGAGGAUACUCGCGGAGGAUGGACUGAGGAUACUCGGGGGAAAAUGGACUGAGGGGACUCGGGGGAAAAUGGACUGAGGAUACUCGGGGGAAAAUGGACUGAGGGGACUCGCGGAGGAUGAACUGAGGAUACUCGCGGAGGAUGGACUGAGGAUACUCGCGGAGGAUGGACUGAGGAUACUCGGGGGAAAAUGGACUGAGGGGACCCGGGGGAGGAUAGACUCAGGAUACUCAGAGAGGAUGGACUGAGGGGACUCGGGGGAGGAUGGAUUCAGGAUACUCAGAGAGGAUGGACUGAGGGGGCUCGGGGGAGGAUGGACUCAGGAUACGCAGAGAGGAUGGACUGAGGGGACUCAGGGGAGGAUGGACUGAGGAUACUUGGGAGAGGAUGGACUGAGGAUAUUCGGAGAGGAUGGACUGAGGGGACUCGGGAGAGGUUGGACUGAGGAUACUCGGAGAGGAUGGAUUGAGGGGACUCGGGGGAGGAUGGACUGAGGAUACUCGCAGAGGAUGGACUGAGGGGACUCGGGGGAGGAUGGACUGAGGAUACUCAGAGAGGAUGGACUGAGGGGACUCGGGGGAGGAUGGACUGAGGAUACUCGGAGAGGAUGGACUGAGGGGACUCGGGGGAGGAUGGACUCAGGAUACUCGGAGAGGAUGGACUGAGGGGACUUGGGGGAGGAUGGACUCAGGAUACUCAGGAUGGACUGAGGGGACUCGGGGGAGGAUGGACUCAGGAUACUCAGAGAGGAUGGACUGAGGGGACUCAGGGGAGGAUGGACUGAGGAUACUCGGAGAGGAUGGACUGAGGGGACUUGGGGGAGGAUGGACUCAGGAUACUGAGAGAGGAUGGACUGAGGGGACUCAGGGCAGGAUGGACUGAGGAUACUAGCGGAAGAUGGACUGAGAAGACUCGGGGAAGAGUGGACUGAGGAUACUCGCGGAGGACGGACUGAGAAGACUCGGGGGACGAUGCACUGAGGAUACUCGUGGAGGAUGGACUGAGAAGACUCAGGGAGGAUGGGCUGAAGAUACUCGGGGAGGAUGCACUGAGGAUACUUGGAGAGGAUGGACUGAGAGGACUCGGGGAAGAAUGGACUGAGGGGACUCGGAGAGGAUGGAUUGAGGAUACUCUGGGGAGGAUGCACUGAGGGCGCUCUGGGAAGGAUGAACUGAGGAGACUCAUGAAUAGUCUCCCACUACUCUAUCAGAGAUAACCACAUUUUAGCAAACACUCCGUUGGAGUCACCCCAUGCACACAUGUGUACAUGCAGCCAAGCCUUUUCCCACGCUAUUAGCUGGUGCAAGUUCCAUCCCUGGAUUUUAAGCAUGGGUCGCCUGGAAGAGCUUUGUUAGAGGAAGAAGAAAGAGGUGUAUCUCAGGAAAAUCCUGGUUCCCAAAGUUGCACAUUAUGUCAGAUGUACCUGUCUUUGACGGCUGGGAGAGCGGACAAGACCCUGCCCCAGCCCUGGCCAGGAAUGGUGGCUGGUGAGCCCCUAGUUGCAGGCAACCUGGACCUGUCCUCGCGGCACCUGAAGAGGGGAAAGGAGACUUGAGGAGAAUGACUGUCCCCAGGCGACCGCCCAUGAACACCUGAGCACCCAUCUGAUAAACAGCCUGGAGUCACUGGAGAGUGACAGCUUCCAUGUAUAUUCAUAUAUGCUCACCAUUAUUUUUCAUAACCACAUCACAUUGCAUCAUUUUAAUGUAUCAUAAUUUUCUCAACCAGCCCCAUCCAGAAGCUUCUUAACCCAAUCUCUUUCUAAGGCCCUCCAAAGGGCUGGAAGAGGGAGCAUCUUUAUUUUGCUGCUGCCAUCAGGGGUCUUGGGAGAGUCCCCUUGGAUCCUGAUUUUUCAGGGCUUGAUACCUGAGAAUAACUGACAGAAAUUUUGAGAACUGUGCCCCCAGUAAUAACAAUAAUUAACAUUGUUUUCAGUACUCUGGGCCAGGCACUGUUCUAAGCACUUUGUACAUAUUAUCUAAGUGACUCUUCACAACAACAACCUUCUGAGGGAGGUACUACUUUUAUCUCUUUUUUAUAAAUAGGGAAACUGAGGCUGAGAGAGAUUAACUUGUGCAAGAUAACACAGUAAAUGGUUGUGCUGGGAUUUGAACCAGGCAGUCUGGCACCAGCAUCCACACUCCUUCUUUCUUUCUUUCUUUCUUUUUUGAGAUGGAGUCUCGCUUUGUCGCCUGGGCUGGAGUGCAGUGGCGCGAUCUCAGCUCACUGCAAGCUCUGCUUCCUGGGCUCAUGCCAUUCCCCUGCCUCAGCCUCCUGAGUAGCUGGGACUACAGGCACCUGCCACCACGCCUGGCUAAUUUUUUUUUGGUAUUUUUAGUAGAGACGGGGUUUCACCGUGUUAACCAGGAUGGUCUCGAUCUCCUGACCUCAUGAUCUGCCCGCCUUGGCCUCCAAAAGUGCUGGGAUUACAGGCAUGAGCCACCGCACCUGGCCCAGCAUCCACAUUCUUAAUCACCAAUUUGUCUAGUUGGCUGAAGAGUUUAGCUGGUUAUUGAUAAUAAGCAGUAUGUCUUCUUGAUCAUUCCUCCUAAAUUUUGGUAGAUUAUAUUUUGAGGCUUGUACUUACGGGAAAAAAAAGAGAGAAAAGAAAAUCUGACACUCCUCUAAAGAGUUCAAGAGUCUCAGAUUCUCUGGGUCCGUCAAUCCUGGGCAGAACCCUGCUGACUGGUUGAUAUGCCACAGUUCAGCAUGCCCUGCCAAAUCUUACCCAUAGAACAGAUGCCUGUGGCGCUGCGGUGGUGCCCAACAGCUCUGAGUUUCAGCCUCUUCUUCCUGGGACUUAACCUCUCACUCUCCACUGCUGUCCUUUGAACACACAGGAGUAAAUUGGUGAGCACCAUUCAUUCAAAUGCACGGUGAGAAGUGUAGUGGGGAGAUGCAAAAGAAGAAUGAAAUAGCCCACAGAAGAUUUCCACACAAGCUGAUAAAUAUACACCUGUGGUUCUCGUUAACCACAGGAGUCAGUGUGGCCCUGUGUGAUAUAAUAAAGAAUAAACCUUUGGUCUCU